GUCCUUAUGGUUUAUAUAAGGUCUUACCUGCCCAGUGAUGUAUGAUUUAACGGCCGCGGUAUUUUGACCGUGCAAAGGUAGCAUAAUCAUUAGUCUCUUAAUAAGAGGCUGGAAUGAAGGGUUUGACGAAGUAUUCACUGUCUCAUUAAAAUAUUUGAAUUUAGCUUUUAAGUCAAAAGGCUUAGAUUUUUUUGGAAGACGAGAAGACCCUAUAGAGCUUUAUUUUCAAUUUUAUUAUUUAUUUUUGUUUUAUUAUAAAUUGUUUUAUAUUGAUUUUUUUGUUGGGGUGACAAGAGCAUAAGAUUAACUUUUUUAUUUAUCUUUCAUUGAUUUAUGAUUUUUAGAUCCAUUAUUACUGAUUAUUAGAAUAAGUUACCUUAGGGAUAACAGCGUAAUCUUCCUUCAGAGUUCAAAUUUACAGGAAGGCUUGCGACCUCGAUGUUGGAUUAAGAUUAUAACUAGGUGUAGCCGCCUAGUCAUUAGGUCUGUUCGACCUUUAAAUUCUUACAUGAUCUGAGUUCAGACCGG
rnacentral:rRNA from 1 species